CAGUAGCCGCGGGAAUACGGAGGGUGCGAGCGUUAAUCGGAAUUACUGGGCGUAAAGCGUACGCAGGCGGUUUGUUAAGUCAGAUGUGAAAUCCCCGGGCUUAACCCGGGAACUGCAUUUGAAACUGGCAGGCUAGAGUCUCGUAGAGGGGGGUAGAAUUCCAGGUGUAGCGGUGAAAUGCGUAGAGAUCUGGAGGAAUACCGGUGGCGAAGGCGGCCCCCUGGACGAAGACUGACGCUCAGGUACGAAAGCGUGGGGAGCAAACAGGAUUAGAUACCCGGGUAGUCCCUGUCUCUUAUAC
rnacentral:rRNA from 1 species